CCUACGGGAGGCAGCAGUGAGGAAUAUUGGUCAAUGGACGAGAGUCUGAACCAGCCAAGUAGCGUGAAGGAUGACUGCCCUAUGGGUUGUAAACUUCUUUUAUAAAGGAAUAAAACGAGGCACGUGUGCCUGUCUGCAUGUACUUUAUGAAUAAGGAUCGGCUAACUCCGUGCCAGCAGCCGCGGUAAUACGGAGGAUCCGAGCGUUAUCCGGAUUUAUUGGGUUUAAAGGGAGCGUAGAUGGGUUGUUAAGUCAGUUGUGAAAGUUUGAGGCUCAACCGUAAAAUUGCAAUUGAUACUGGCAGUCUUGAGUACAGUUGAGGUAGGCGGAAUUCGUGGUGUAGCGGUGAAAUGCUUAGAUAGCACGAAGAACCCCGAUUGCGAAGGCAGCUUACUAAACUGUGACUGACAUUGAUGCUCGAAAGUGUGGGUAGCAAACAGGAUUAGAUAUCCGAGUAGUC
rnacentral:rRNA from 1 species